GUGGGGAAUAUUGGGCAAUGGGGGAAACCCUGACCCAGCGACGCCGCGUGAGGGAAGACGGCCUUCGGGUUGUAAACCUCUUUUGUACGGGAAGAAGGAAGUGACGGUACUGUACGAAUAAGUCCCGGCUAACUACGUGCCAGCAGCCGCGGUAAUACGUAGGGGACGAGCGUUGUCCGGAAUUACUGGGCGUAAAGGGCGCGCAGGCUGUGCUGCAAGUCAGCUGUGAAAUGUCUGGGCUUAACCCGGGCAUGCGGUUGAGACUGCAGUGCUGGAGUGCGGGAGAUGCAAGUGGAAUUCCCAGUGUGGCGGUGAAAUGCGUAGAUAUUGGGAAGAACACCGGUGGCGAAGGCGACUUGCUGGGCAGCAACUGACGCUGAGGCGCGAAAGCCAGGGGAGCAAACUGGAUUAGAAACCCCGGUAGUCC
rnacentral:rRNA from 1 species